CCCUUAGAUGUUCUGGGCCGCACGCGUGCUACACUGAGUAAUUCAAUGGGUAAGGGAACGCUAGAGCAUUACCUAAUCUUGAAAUUUGCUCGUGAUGGGGAUCGACGGUUGCAAUUUUCCGUCGUGAACGAGGAAUACCUUGUAGGCGCAUGUCAUCAUCAUGCGCCGAAUACGUCCCUGCCCUUUGUACACACCGCCCGUCGCUCCUACCGAUUGAGUGAUCCGGUGAGGCUCUGGGACCUGGACGGAAAGAGCGUUUCGCUUGUUCUGUUUGGGAAACUUGGUCGAACCUUAUCAUUUAGAGGAAGGAGAAGUCGUAACA
rnacentral:rRNA from 1 species